rnacentral:rRNA from 1 species
AGCGAACGCUGGCGGCAGGCUUAACACAUGCAAGUCGAGCGGGCAUCCUUGUGGUGUCAGCGGCAGACGGGUGAGUAACGCGUGGGAACGUGCCCUUCGGUUCGGAAUAACUCAGGGAAACUUGAGCUAAUACCGGAUACGUGCGAGAGCAGAAAGGUUUAUCUGCCGAAGGAUCGGCCCGCGUCUGAUUAGCUAGUUGGUGAGGUUACGGCUCACCAAGGCGACGAUCAGUAGCUGGUCUGAGAGGAUGAUCAGCCACACUGGGACUGAGACGCGGCCCAGACUCCUACGGGAGGCAGCAGUGGGGAAUAUUGGACAAUGGGGGCAACCCUGAUCCAGCCAUGCCGCGUGAGUGAUGACGGCCUUAGGGUUGUAAAGCUCUUUUCUCCGGGACGAUAAUGACGGUACCGGAGGAAUAAGCCCCGGCUAACUUCGUG